rnacentral:pre_miRNA from 1 species
CCCUUAACUAUUAAAAGUUUCGUUUUCGUCCUUUAACUUACUUUUUAGUUUCGUUUUGGUCCCUUAAUUCUUCCUCCGUCAACCACUUUGGUCCUUUAUGUUAGGAUGAAUGUAUUAGAGUUAAGGGACCAAAGUGAAACCAAAAAAUAAGUUAAAGGACCAAAACGAAACCAAAAAAUAAGUUAAGGGACCAAAACGAAACCAAAAAAUAAGUUAAGGGACCAAAACGAAACUUUUAAUAGUUAAGGGA